rnacentral:rRNA from 1 species
ACGAACGCUGGCGGCGUGCUUCACACAUGCAAGUCGAACGGUGAAGGGACCGGUUUUUGCUGGUUCUGGAUGAGUGGCGAACGGGUGAGUAACACGUGAGUAACCUGCCCCCUUCUUCUGGAUAACCGCAUGAAAGUGUGGCUAAUACGGGAUAUUCUGCGCCUGCUGCAUGGUGGGUGUGGGAAAGAUAUUGUUUCGGUGGGGGAUGGGCUCGCGGCCUAUCAGCUUGUUGGUGGGGUGAUGGCCUACCAAGGCGGUGACGGGUAGCCGGCCUGAGAGGGUGGACGGUCACACUGGGACUGAGACACGGCCCAGACUCCUACGGGAGGCAGCAGUGGGGAAUAUUGCACAAUGGGCGCAAGCCUGAUGCAGCGACGCCGCGUGAGGGAUGGAGGCCUUCGGGUUGUAAACCUCUUUCGCCAGUGAAGCAGGCCUGUCCCUUUUGUGGGUGGGUUGACGGUAGCUGGAUAAGAAGCGCCGGCUAACUACGUG